rnacentral:rRNA from 1 species
GAUGAACGCUAGCGGCAGGCUUAACACAUGCAAGUCGAGGGGCAGCAUAAACAUUGCUUGCAAUGUUUGAUGGCGACCGGCGCACGGGUGCGUAACGCGUAUGUAACCUACCUCAAACAGGGGCAUAACACUGAGAAAUUGGUACUAAUUCCCCAUAACACUUUGGGAGGCAUCUCCUGGAGUUGAAAGUUCCGGCGGUUUGAGAUGGACAUGCGUUGUAUUAGCUAGUUGGUGAGGUAACGGCUCACCAAGGCGACGAUACAUAGGGGGACUGAGAGGUUAACCCCCCANAUUGGUACUGAGACACGGACCAAACUCCUACGGGAGGCAGCAGUGAGGAAUAUUGGUCAAUGGACGCAAGUCUGAACCAGCCAUGCCGCGUGCAGGAUGACGCU